CCAAAUCCCUCCUACUGCAAACUCCAGUUUUCUUGUUUGUCCUUGUCAGAAACAAAGGGCGGCUUUCUCACUCGAGCAAAGCUCUUGAGGACUGAUUGGUGAGGAGGCUGCCAACAGAGGGUAAAUGCGGAACUGUCUGACCUUGGUUUUACAUCCGCCCUCAGGGGUGAUUCUGAGGCGGCAUGAGCUGGCAUUUGGAAACGAUUGGUAUACACGAUUGCCUCUGGACAAAUGAAGAUACCAACCGAUUUGGCCUUCCUGAAUCUUAGAUGGUGACUGUGGCAUUUAGACUACCCCGAGGGGUUCUGGGAUCCCCAAGCAUCCAGUUUACCACGGCCGUUGUACUGAAGUUUUAUCCGAACUCCGUUUCUGCACAUCUCUAACUUGCCUCCAGGACAGGAAGUGCUGACGGGAGCAAAGCAGAGGAGGGAAAACAACUCUUAAGGAUCUACAUUGAUUGCGGGAACAGGUAAUCUGAAUGAAGCUACAUGUAAAGACCAAGCCUGAGUUAUAUGAACACACACCAGCUGGACAGUGGGAGGAAACAGCUAAGAAGCCAGUCUGGGAAAGAACAUUUGCCUUGGGUGACUGAUCUGCAAAUAAUAAAGAGUGGCUAUGGUUUGCAGCCCAGUUGUCUCCAGAAGGUGACAGCAUUAAGGUCACGAUCCACUAGUGGCGUGCCCUGGAAUUUGCAUACUCUUACUAAGAGUCAAAGAGUCUGAGUCAAUCUAAAAUUAUGGCAGCCGAUUGCAAAAAUGGCCCCAGUUACGCUGCCCCAUGCAGUCACAUGCUUACUCUAUGACCUGUAACUCUUCCUUUCAAGUAAUAGAACCUAUUUCCUCCCUUCUUGACCCUGGACUGGCCUUUUGACUAGUUUGGGUCAUUAAAAUGAAGCAAAAGUAGUGUUGUGCCAUACGCAAGCCUAGGCAUCAGGAGACCUCCUACACUUCACUCUGUCUCUUGGAGGACUGCCACGGACGUGAGCCCGAACCUGGCCUAGCGGCUGGGGUGACGGCCCUGAGCUGGAGCUCCAGGUGUGCAGGAAGGCCCAGCCAAGAUCAGCAGAGCUAAUCUGCCAACUGAGGGUAGACACGUGAGGAUUAACCUGGGAUCAAAGCUGUCCAGCUGACUCCAACCCUCAUGAGUUGAAUACAAGCCUCUUGUUUUAAGCCACUGAGUUUUCUGGUUGUUUCUUACAUAGCCUUACUGGGACAGCAGAUGACUGGCACAGAACUUCUUUGCUGUCCUGGCUUUGCUUCCUUUCCAUCUCUGGUAGGCUACCGUUACUGUUAUGAUUGGACAAGAUAGGAUAAAAUAGGCAGAGAGGGAAAGGAUAGAACCUGAGAUCCCUGGGUGGGGGAAAACACCUAUUUCGGAACAACGCUAGGAGCCUCAGACUACAGCAAACCCCCCCCUCGGGUUUAAGGUUCCCCUUAAGAAUGUAACAGACACCGCCUACUCCCCCUCAGGUUCCCCUCGGG